UUUCUUUGGAAUCUUCUCUCUUUUAUAGACGCAGGUCAUUUAUCAGCUGGGAAUGGAACUCUUCCUGGUUGGGUCAGGGCAUGCUGCAAACUGCCCCGUAAUUGGAAGUCCCUGUAAUAAUGCUUUUCUUGGCCAGGACACAAACCACACUCGAGAAGGUCUUCCUGAGUGCUGAAGGUCAAUCAACUAGAACUUUCUCAAGCUUUUAGAGGAGUGGAUUCUGGAAACAAAUCUGCUUCCCCAGGAGCAACUAUCCUCAGGAGGGUUUCUCCGUAUUCCUAUUCCAGUCAGACGGACUCAUCCAUCAAGGACCUGGCACAGGGUGGGGUCUGCGCCCGAGAAUCUCCAGCUUCCUCCAGCUGCCCAGGAGCAGGCUUCUGGAAGGUUCCAUGUGAGAAGGUGCACUUUACCAGGGCAAUGGCCACAGGCACUUGGAGCCGUCUCUGGCUGAUUUUCAGACUUCCAGUGGGCCAGAAGAAAGGAAUGCAAUUGCUUGGUAUCUCUGCUACAUAUCAUGCCUGUCUCCUUUGUUGCCUUAACCUGUGGGGCAGUUCCUACUCGGCUCUGCACGUAGGCAUGUUGAACAUGUCAAAGAUGUCUCGUCAGACUACAGCGCAGGGUUAGUUUGACCUAAACCUGCCUAGCCUUGCUCCUCCCCCUCCGAGGUUAAAGAUAUCCUCAGCUGGGACCAGAGAGAGGGCUCAGCAGUUGAGAGCACCAUCUGUUCCUUCAGAGGACUGGGAUUCGAUUUCCAGCACCUACAUGGGGCUCACAAUGGUCUGUAAUUACAGUCUCAGGGGGCCUACCAGGCACACAUAUGGUACAAAGACAUGCAUGCAGACAAAACAGCCAACAGAUAAAAUAAGUAAAUAAAUAUUUUUUACAAGUCUGACCCUGAGAGUGAAAGGCCGCACAACUCUGGAAGAUCUCCCCUGAUCCCAGAAAGGACAAGAGCAUCCCUUUGCGGUGUCUGCCUUCCUGUGCCCCAUACUCCUCACUGCCUCUAAGCAUCCUACUCUAUUUGGGGUUGAGCAUCUGAUUCACAAGCAAAGCUCUCCCUUCUCCAUCCUUUGGCUACUUAAGCCAGCCUUUCUUCGGCCCCAAGACUGACUGGUUUUUCUGAGGAAUAAGCAUCCAGCCUUGGAUUCUGAAACAUCAUGAAAGACCUAAUUAACGAUGCCCCCAUUCAGCAGGAAGCAGUUUGGAGAGAAGUAACUGCGCCCA